GACGAACGCUGGCGGCGUGCUUAACACAUGCAAGUCGAACGGAAAGGCCCCUUCGGGGGUACUCGAGUGGCGAACGGGGGAGUAACACGUGAGUAACCUGCCCUGACUUCGGGGUAACUUCAGGAAACUGGGGCUAAUACCGGAUAGGAAUCCUUGCUGCAUGGUGGGGGGUGGAAAGCUUCGGCGGUUUUGGGUGGACUCGCGGCGUAUCAGCUUGUUGGUGGGGUAGUGGCUUACCAAGGCUGUGACGGGUAGCCGGCCUGAGAGGGCGACCGGCCACCUUGGGACUGAGAUACGGCCCAGACUCCUACGGGAGGCAGCAGUGGGGAAUAUUGCACGAUGGGCGGCAGCCUGAUGCAGCAACGCCGCGUGCGGGAGGACGGCCUUCGGGUUGUAAACCGCUUUCAGCAGGGGCGAAGCUUGUGGUGACGGUACCUGCAGAAGAAGCACCGGCUAACUACGUG
rnacentral:rRNA from 1 species